rnacentral:rRNA from 1 species
AUUGAACGCUGGCGGCAGGCUUAACACAUGCAAGUCGAGCGGGGAAAGGUAGCUUGCUACUGGACCUAGCGGCGGACGGGUGAGUAAUGCUUAGGAAUCUGCCUAUUAGUGGGGGACAACAUCUCGAAAGGGAUGCUAAUACCGCAUACGUCCUACGGGAGAAAGCAGGGGAUCUUCGGACCCUGCGCUAAUAGAUGGGCCUAAGUCGGAUUAGCUAGUUGGUGGGGUAAAGGCCUACCAAGGCGACGAUCUGUAGCGGGUCUGAGAGGAUGAUCCGCCACACUGGGACUGAGACACGGCCCAGACUCCUACGGGAGGUAGCAGUGGGGAAUAUUGGACAAUGGGCGCAAGCCUGAUCCAGCCAUGCCGCGUGUGUGAAGAAGGCCUUAUGGUUGUAAAGCACUUUAAGCGAGGAGGAGGCUACUUUAGAUAAUACCUAGAGAUAGUGGACGUUACUCGCAGAAUAAGCACCGGCUAACUCUGUGCCAGCCGCCGCCGUAAGAC